rnacentral:rRNA from 1 species
AGCUCUGUAAGCGUAUACCAAAGUUGUUGCAGUUAAAACGCUCGUAGUCGGAUUUUGGGGCAGCCCGUGCUGUGCGCGUAGUGCGUGCGGCGCUGGGAUGUUCUUUUGUGGAGGGCGGUGCGUCGUGGCUUUACUGUCGCGGCGUAUCGGCGCCACCGUUUACUGUGAAAAAAUUAGAGUGUUCAAAGCAGGCAUUCAUCGUGCCCGAAUACAUGAGCAUGGAAUAAUGGAACAGGACUACGGUCACUGCACUUUUUCCGUUGGUUUCGGAGGACCGAAGUAAUGAUUAAGAGGGACAGUUGGGGGCAUCCGUAUUUCGUAGUCAGAGGUGAAAUUCUUGGAUCUGCGAAAGACGAACGAGUGCGAAAGCAUUUGCCAAGAGUGUUUUCAUUAAUCAAGA